rnacentral:rRNA from 1 species
CAGGCUUAACACAUGCAAGUCGAGGGGCAGCAUGGUCUUAGCUUGCUGAGGCCGAUGGCGACCGGCGCACGGGUGAGUAACACGUAUCCAACCUGCCGUCUACUCUUGGACAGCCUUCUGAAAGGAAGAUUAAUACAAGAUGGCAUCAUGAGUCCGCAUGUUCACAUGAUUAAAGGUAUUCCGGUAGACGAUGGGGAUGCGUUCCAUUAGAUAGUAGGCGGGGUAACGGCCCACCUAGUCUUCGAUGGAUAGGGGUUCUGAGAGGAAGGUCCCCCACAUUGGAACUGAGACACGGUCCAAACUCCUACGGGAGGCAGCAGUGAGGAAUAUUGGUCAAUGGGCGAGAGCCUGAACCAGCCAAGUAGCGUGAAGGAUGACUGCCCUAUGGGUUGUAAACUUCUUUUAUAAAGGAAUAAAGUCGGGUAUGGAUACCCGUUUGCAUGUACUUUAUGAAUAAGGAUCGGCUAACUCCGUGCCAGCAGCCGCGGUAAUACGGAGGAUCCGAGCGUUAUCCGGAUUUAUUGGGUUUAAAGGGAGCGUAGAUGGAUGUUUAAGUCAGUUGUGAAAGUUUGCGGCUCAACCGUAAAAUUGCAGUUGAUACUGGAUAUCUUGAGUGCAGUUGAGGCAGGCGGAAUUCGUGGUGUAGCGGUGAAAUGCUUAGAUAUCACGAAGAACUCCGAUUGCGAAGGCAGCCUGCUAAGCUGCAACUGACAUUGAGGCUCGAAAGUGUGGGUAUCAAACAGGAUUAGAUACCCUGGUAGUCCACACGGUAAACGAUGAAUACUCGCUGUUUGCGAUAUACUGCAAGCGGCCAAGCGAAAGCGUUAAGUAUUCCACCUGGGGAGUACGCCGGCAACGGUGAAACUCAAAGGAAUUGACGGGGGCCCGCACAAGCGGAGGAACAUGUGGUUUAAUUCGAUGAUACGCGAGGAACCUUACCCGGGCUUAAAUUGCAGAUGAAUUACGGUGAAAGCCGUAAGCCGCAAGGCAUCUGUGAAGGUGCUGCAUGGUUGUCGUCAGCUCGUGCCGUGAGGUGUCGGCUUAAGUGCCAUAACGAGCGCAACCCUUGUUGUCAGUUACUAACAGGUUCCGCUGAGGACUCUGACAAGACUGCCAUCGUAAGAUGUGAGGAAGGUGGGGAUGACGUCAAAUCAGCACGGCCCUUACGUCCGGGGCUACACACGUGUUACAAUGGGGGGUACAGAGGGCCGCUACCACGCGAGUGGAUGCCAAUCCCCAAAACCUCUCUCAGUUCGGACUGGAGUCUGCAACCCGACUCCACGAAGCUGGAUUCGCUAGUAAUCGCGCAUCAGCCACGGCGCGGUGAAUACGUUCCCGGGCCUUGUACACACCGCCCGUCAAGCCAUGGGAGCCGGGGGUACCUGAAGUGCGUAACCGCGAGGAGCGCCCUAGGGUAAAACUGGUGACUGGGGC